AUAGUGAGUACAAAAUUAUUCAUCAGAUGGUGGAUGAUAUUGGGAAAGAGAUUAGAAAAGCUGGAUUUGUUGCUUCAACAUCAGAAGUGUUGCUUGAUAUCGAUGAAGAACAUAAAGAAGGAGCUGUAAAUAGGCAUAGUGAAAAGCUUGCUAUUGCAUUUGCCCUUAUGAAGACACCUCCUGGAACUCCUAUCCGAAUCGUGAAAAACUUACGAGUCUGUGAAGAUUGCCACUCUGCGACUAAAUUCAUUUCGAAGACUUACAAGCGAGAAAUAUUGGUCAGGGACAGAAACCGAUUUCACCGUUUCGUAGAUGGGGUUUGCUCAUGCAAAGACUUUUGGUAGCUUAAUGUGCAUGAUGUUGUAAUCAAUAUCAGUCAUGGCAACCAGGAGUGUCUUUUCAUGAGCAUUGUUA
rnacentral:misc_RNA from 1 species